rnacentral:rRNA from 1 species
GUAGGUGGCAAGCGUUGCCCGGAAUUAUUGGGCGUAAAGCGCGCGCAGGUGGUUCUUUAAGUCUGAUGUGAAAGCCCCCGGGCUCGAACCGGGGAGGGUCAUUGGAAACUGGGGAACUUGAGUGCAGGAGAGGAAAGUGGAAUUCCACGUGUAGCGGUGAAAUGCGUAGAUAUGUGGAGGAACACCAGUGGCGAAGGCGACUUUCUGGCCUGUAACUGACACUGAGGCGCGAAAGCGUGGGGAGCAAACAGGAUUAGAUACCCUGGUAGUCCACGCCGUAAACGAUGAGUGCUAAGUGUUGGGGGGUUUCCGCCCCUCAGUGCUGCAGCUAACGCAUUAAGCACUCCGCCUGGGGAGUACGGUCGCAAAGACUG